CAUCUCUGAGUGCCUGCACGUAUGCUUGCGUGCACGUUCUUGCCCACCCUCUAUGGAGCAGCUGACGCCCUCAUUUUCGCUGAGGAAGAUGAUUAUCAUCUCUGGAAGACGAGGACACAGCCACUGCCAAGGCAUGCGCGCGUGUGCGCGGGGGCUUGAGCACAGGGAGGAGGUAUGAAGGGUUGAGUGGGGGCAGCUGCGCGAAGCGACGGCCUCUUCUUUCUCGCUCAGCUACCUCUCCCCUUCCCCUUCCUAUGCCUGCCGAAUGCCGAACUCGCCUCUGGUGUGUGACAGGGUCAGGUGUCUGUGACGUAGGCGGAGGUCCGCGCGAUGCAUCGCUGCUGAUGUCGGCGGUGAGGGCCUGGAUGGCGUUGCGUCGGGGCGACCUGCGACCGUGCACACGCCUGCACACUGUCUAUGUGAUGGGCGAAGUGCCAGCGUGGCUCGAACGCACCCCGCACGGCCCUCACACUGACCACUGGUGGGGGGCAGCCUGAGCGCCACGCCGAGGGGGAUGCACCAGGGGUGGCGACCGGCACAAUGGGGGAGCGGCUGCGAGGCGACCUGCUCAGCGGGCAUGUGGGCUGGGCUCGAGGCAGAGGCGGUGCUGAGACGACUGGGUCGGCGCAUUGCUGCCGUGCGCGCGUGCGCCCAGGGCUGCUUGGCACCAGGCGGAUGGGGCACCUGUGGCAGGGGUCUGUGGUGGUGCGCGGUGGGCGGAGCGGCAUGGCGUGACGUUCGAGCUCGCGUUGCAUGGCGGAGAGUGAGCAUGCUGGAGGAAACGUGUAUGUCGCUCUCUGGCAGGCAAUGGGCACAUCGUCUCAGCACUCCUCCCCAUACUUCCCUGUUGGUGUCUCUUAUUCUCUUCAGAAUUGUGUUGCCUUCUCC
rnacentral:misc_RNA from 1 species